GGUGUGAGGUGCACAGGUGAUACCACAACAGGAACACAGAAAACAGAGAUAGCUAGGGAAGGCCACUGGAACAGCCUCAGACAUCAACUGGCAGAAUACUAUAGCAGCAGAGGAGGCGGCAAGACCAGGCCGGUGGAGAGACCAGAGCAAGGCACCAGAGAGCUGAGCUCAGAUACUUAUUGACCAUAAACUCUGAAGCACCCCAGAUGCCAGGCAAGGGAACCAGUGGACAGGAACAGGUCAGGACAGGAACUCUAACACCACAAGAAGACAAAACAUGGCUCCACAGGAACACAAAUUACUCCAAGACAGGCAAGAGAAUAAACAAAACAAAAGGACUA